rnacentral:rRNA from 1 species
GGGCCCGCACAAGCGGUGGAGUAUGUGGUUUAAUUCGAUGCAACGCGAAGAACCUUACCAGGGUUUGACAUCCUGCGAAUCUCUUGGAAACAGGAGAGUGCCUUCGGGAACGCAGUGACAGGUGGUGCAUGGCUGUCGUCAGCUCGUGUCGUGAGAUGUUGGGUUAAGUCCCGCAACGAGCGCAACCCACGUCUUUAGUUGCCAGCAUUUAGUUGGGCACUCUAGAGAGACUGCCUGGGAUGACCAGGAGGAAGGCGAGGAUGACGUCAAGUCCUCAUGGCCCUUAUGGGCUGGGCUACACACGUGCUACAAUGGCGGUUACAAUGGGAAGCAAUAGGGUGACCUGGAGCUAAUCCCCAAAGGCCGUCUCAGUUCGGAUUGUUCUCUGCAACUCGAGAACAUGAAGUCGGAAUCGCUAGUAAUCG